UUGGGCGGUGCUUUUUCAGCAGCGUGCCGGGGCAGACGGCAGGCAGCGCUGUGCGGGCUCGCCGGAGAUGGGUCCGGGGCGGGACGCAGUUGCGGCGGCGAGGUUUUUGUGAGGGGUGGGCUUGAUGGUGACUGAUAGCUGUGAUGAUGGAUUGCCGGUUUAUGCAAUUACAUAAUCAUGACGCAGUUACCUCUUAGUUGUGUCAUUAUUUGACUGGUAAUGUAGAUGGGAGUACUGGUGCUGUGGUUAAUGGAUAUUGCUAUUCGUUACUGACAGCUGGAGCAGUAAUUGGGGCCUUAUAAAGUAUAUAUUAAAAGGAAUAAAUGUUACAUGUCUGGUGCAGCAGUAGAAAAUUUCAGGCUCCCAGGCAGUAAAUUGUAUUCUUUAAAUCAUUAUAGUUUGGGGUUUUUUUUACUUCCAGGUAUCCUGAAAGUUUCUACUGCUGCUUUUUUUAUUCUAAAGCUAAAAAGAAAAAUAAAGUUAGAACUACAGGGAAAGAAAGAAAGGAAGAAAGAAAAGAAGGAAAGAAAGAAAGGAAGGAAAGAAAGAAAGGAAGAAAGAAAGGAAGGAGGAAAGGAAAGAAGGAAAGGAAGAAUUGAAGAAAGAAAGGAGGGAAGGAGGAAGGGAGGAGGAAAGAAAGAAAGAAAGAGAAAGAAAGAAAGAAAGAAAGUUAGUGGGUAGUAUAUUUACUAUGUAUUUCCUCAGAGCAAAGGCCUUCUACAGUUGCUGGGCUGUUCUCCCAGCUUGGAACACCGCACACUCGCUACAGCUUCCACGGAUUGUCAACGUAACCAGGAUGGUCCAUGCAUGUUAUGCUGAAACUAAAAAACAGGCCAACAGACCUGGUUCGUCACUCUGGUGGGAACUCUGGAAGUAGCACAGGGCUCUGUGACGGAGCCUUGACCUUUUCCAUUUCAGGGUGUCGCCUGGAGAGCCUUCAGGAAGGGCCGAGGAGUUGCUGCAGAGCCCGCGAUGACGGAGGCGGCCUCCGAGCGUGGCCGUAGCGUGCGGCCCGAGGAGCCGGGCGUUCUUAGCAGAAGGCUGACCAAGAGACCAGAGCCCGAUGACUGCGGAAAAUUCCCAGCGGGUGAGGCGGCCUUCCUUGGCAGCGGAGGCGGAUUGUCAUCCCCGGACGUCCAAGAGAUAAGUGGAGGGUUACGAGCCCCCUGAGAGGGGGACGAAAGCGAGGUGCUGGGAGGGCCUUUGGAGUGGCAGCUUUGGAGGCGGGGUUGUGCAGGAGGUGGCCACUUAGGCCACGUAAAGGAAGAGUCAUCCGGUGCUGAGGUGCUCAGGGCAGAGCAGUCCCGGUGCGUGUCACUUGUGUCACUUGUCUAUCGUGCCUUGCGUGUCUUUUGUGCGUCUCACGUCCUUUGCCUUAGUCCUUUGAGGGGCUUAUGUGAAACGCAGGUGUCCAUUUUUGUAACUCAGAUCUGUGUUCCUCGGCCCAGUGCGUAUUCCUUCAAAGCCUUGACUCAGGAGGCUGGCCAGGCAUGGGCAUAGCAUCUCUCUUUAGAAUCAUCCAGUCAGAUUACUUGUAAGGUCUUGUUCUGAGCCAUUCUCGACAGCUGCGCAUGGCAACCAUCCAUUCUAGCUGAUUAGGACUUGUAAAAAUGGCAAGAUAGGUAGAGGAUUGUGACGGUAGGAUUCUCUGGCGCCCAUCUUUGCACCGCUUGCGAUAAGUUCUUUGGUCAGCAUCUUCUUCCUCCAGGAUUCUCUGAGCCUCACGGGCUCGCCAUCACUCUCACCCAGGUCAUCUCGUCCCACCUUCUCCCGGUCAUUGCUGGCAUUCUUCUCGCCGAGAGCUUUCUCUCCCCGUUGUGUCCUCUCGUUUGUCUUGUUCUCUGUCACGGGUGUCUGGGUAUUUGGCCCGAAGCUGCUCUGCCCUGCUGCACAGCCUGGUGUAGGUGUAAUAGGACAAGUCUGGGGGCAUGGGGAUUGGUAAUGCAGGGUGUAGCUGGACUCUAGAUGGGAUUUGUAGCUUGACACAAGAUGUCUGGAACUCUUAAGUUAUUCUGCAGCGCUCUGACUUUUGUCCUCCCAUUCUUUCAGGUGCCGCCAGACAAAAUCCUCGGCAGAGAGCAGCGUGCCGGGUGAGCGGAUCCCCGGGCAGGUGAGGCAGCAUUCGUCUUGGGUCUGCAGCCACCUCCUGUAAUUUCAUGUGGUGUAUGAUGCCUCCUAGAUAAAAUCUGCCUCCAGUACCAGCUCGGGCUGCUUUGACAGUGCCAAGUGCUUCCUGCAAACUGCCAUCAGGAACCCGGGUUAGUGAGUUUGGUUUACCAGGGUAAUGGACCCGCCUUGGUGUUCAGGGGCCUGUGGCCCUGAGUGGGCGGCCACCUCCAGAAAGUCUGCAUGGCACAGGAUGCCUCCAGACCCAACCCACCUCCACGUAGAACUUACAGUGCUUUGACAGUCCCAAUUGCCUCCUGCAAAAUGACAUCAGGAGCCUGGGAUGGUGAGUUUGGUUUCCCAGGGAAAAGGGCCCACCUUUCAGUUCAGGGGCCCGUGGCCCUGAGCGGGCACCCACCUCCUGAAAUUCCACACUGCUCAGAAUUCCUCCUAGACCGAGCCUGCCACCACUGGGAAUUUCUGCUGCUGUGACAGUCCCAAGCACCUUCUGCAAACUGACGUCAAGGAACCUGGGCUGCUGAGUUUCUUCUUCCCUGAGAAAAGGACCUGCCUUGGUGUUCAGGGGCCUGUGAGCCUGAGUGGGCGGCCACCUCUUGAAAUUCCACAUGCCACAGGAUGCCUCCCAGAUCCAACUUGUCACCACCGGGAACUUGGGCUGCUUUGACAGUCCUAAGCACUUCCUGCAAACUGAGUUCAGGUACCUCGGUUCGUGAGUUUCAUUUCCCAGGGAAAAGGACCCACCUUUCAGUUCAAGGGCCUGUGGUCCCGAGCGGGUGGCCCCAUACCGAAAUUCCACACGGUGUGGGACGCCUCCGAGACCCAACCUGCCAGCUCCGGGAACUCACGCUGUUUUGACAGUCCCUAGUGCCUCACCUCCCGCAAACUGCCAGCAGGAGCCUGGGCUGGUGAGUUUCUGUCCUGGUUCAGGGCAAAUUUGGGAGAGAACCCCCAAAGGGCCCCCCUAGGAAAUCGGAUUCUACCACCCCUCCCCCAACCGGUCCAGGAGAAAAUACUUCCUUGGAGAAAAGUGGAAAAAAACUAUUUAUUAAACAAGAAAACUUAAUAUUAAACAAUAAAACCCCUUGCUGCUCCAAAGGAGAUGACACACCCAGAAAGUCCCCUCCCCAGAUUCCAGUUCAGCUCACUCAGUCCCUCAUCAGUCCCUCCGGCGCUGGAAAUGCCGUGGCCCAGGCCCGGCCCGGCCCACCGAGGCGAGCUGCUGGUGCUCUUAUGGUUGUUCAGUCCAGAGCAGGUGUGAACAGGUCCAGAGAAAGGGGAAAAAAGGGAAAAAAAGCGCAGUCCAGGGAACUUCUUUGCCUCAGCUAGCUAAACUAACUAAAAAGCAAGGAAAAAAAGAGCCCUGUCCCGCCGUCUGUUCAUCCGCAGAAAACACACAGUCCAGAAGCAGGAAUGUGUAGGAGUGAGUUCAGUGUCUGAAAACAAACUGCGCGCCUCCUCUCCCCUCCUCAAUCCUUGGAGCAAGUCUUAAAGGUGCAAAACUUACUAUUCAGCAUAAACGGAAUGAGACGAUUGGGGAUAAAAGCAUCAUAUAGUCAACCUAGGACAUUCCACCCCUUAUCCCCAUAUCGUCAGCUUACUACUAAAACUAAUAUAUAUAUUCUAACUCUAUAAACACAUACAUCAGACAUUCAAUAUACAGCUAUACACAGACAAUGGUAGUAACAUUUAGCAAACAGUGAUAUUUACACGUAGGUCUCACCCAACAAUGAGAUCUCCCUGAGGUACACAUCGUGUUCUUCCAUCUCUUUGCAUUAUCCACCAUGUGGAACCUGGUCCCUGAGCAAAGACAACCCCACGAAUGGGUUUGUCUGUACUUGAGGCAGAAUUGAUCCAAACUGUCUUCCCUAAUAAACCUCUGACAUGUACCACUGGGA